CGUUUGCCUCGGCGGCGCGGUCAGCGCUCCGAAAUGGACGACGGCCCCCCGCCGGCAGCACCAAACUCUUGAAUUUUACAGCGGAUUCACAGUUCUGAUUUCGAAACAAAAAAACAAGUUAAAACUUUCAACAACGGAUCUCUAGGUUCUGGCAUCGAUGAAGAACGCAGCGAAAUGCGAUAAGUAAUGUGAAUUGCAGAAUUCAGUGAAUCAUCGAAUCUUUGAACGCACAUUGCGCCCGGCAGUAAUCUGCCGGGCAUGCCUGUCCGAGCGUCAUUUCAACCCUCGAACCUCUGUUUCCUCAGGGAAGCUCAGGGUCGGUGUUGGGGCGCUACGGCGAGUCUUCGCGACCCCCGUAGGCCCUGAAAUACAGUGGCGGUCCCGCCGCGGUUGCCUUCUGCGUAUAAGUCUCUUUUGAAGCUCGCAUUGGGUCCCGGCGGAGGCCUGCCGUCAAACCACUAUAACUCCAGAUGGUUUGACCUCGGAUCAGGUAGGGUUACCCGCUGAACUUAACAUAU
rnacentral:rRNA from 1 species